rnacentral:lncRNA from 13 species
UAGACAGGCUAUGACGGCUGUGUUUCGAUAUUGACUGUAAGAGUAAUUUUUCCACGCAGUGUUACUCCAAUCCAUUUUGGAGUAAAAUUUAUUAUACGCCGAGCCAAGUCUCUCGACAGUCUCGACAAGGACAAGGAUAUGUUUUUUCAGCGCAUGAAACGCUUGUUCGCCACGUGGAAGGAUGGACAGGUCGGCACCGAUGAUAGUUUCAGUAAAAUGGAUUGUUGCAUUUGUGUCGUUGGCUAUUACGAUCUUUCUUUUGCAGCAAGUCCAUAGCAUUGCGAGCGAUGGAGACUUUGGGAGUGUUUUCUAAAAAAAAAUGCGAGGAAAAUAUGAAGGUGCCUUUAUGAAUGCGUGGAGAGCCACUUUGAAGAACGAAAAUCUUUCGAUAUGGUAAACAGGCACAAAUGAGAGAAAAUUGACUAUCCGAAUACAUGUAAAGUUAAACAUUCAAGGCUGGCAGAAGGUGUA